rnacentral:lncRNA from 1 species
UCACAACAUCUGCAUGGUGUCUCUGGAAAGAGCAAAAUUUCAGAGUUUCCGAUCUCAAGCUGUCAUACCUCCUGUAGCGAUAACACAACUCUCUCAGGUUAGAAGCCUUCUGCUGUAUCAAUAGACCAUGUACGGCAAUAAGCAAAGUGGAACUCAGGGGCUGAACAUAUGCGGGUACAAUAGAUUUCAUGGUGGAUAUGAAAUGCGUAAGCUAUGUUCCAGCACAAAAAGAUAAGUCUCUAAAGCUUGUUGGAGUAAAAGGUAUUGACAUUGAGCUGAGUAGUCCAGUUGGAAGAGUUCAAAGGUCUACAAGAAAACUAUGCUAUUGUCGAGUUCGAAGGUUCUGU